rnacentral:SRP_RNA from 1 species
CCGUGCUACGCGGGGCGCUAGGGGUGUCCUGUAACCCGAAACCCUCUAUACGCGGGGCGGAAUGCCUGCUGAAGGGUGCUGAGUUCCCGUGGUAUGCGGUCGGCACGUGGUGAUGACGGCCGGGUCCUACGCAGCGGGACCUUCGUGAACCGGGUCAGGUCCGGGAGGAAGCAGCCCUAAGCGACGGGUUCCGGGUGCCGUGGGAGUGCCGGGCCCGAGCCGGCGACCGGCUAGCGCCAUGAGAGUCGCAUUCGACGGCGGGCUGCACGG